UACGGAGGGUGCAAGCGUUAUCCGGAUUUACUGGGGUUAAAGGGUGCGCAGGCGGAUAUGUAAGUCAGUGGUGAAAUCUUCCCGCUUAACGGGAAAACUGCCGUUGAUACUAUAUAUCUUGAAUGCUGUGGAGGUAAGCAGAAUAUGUCAUGUAGCGGUGAAAUGCUUAGAGAUGACAUAGAAUACCUAUUGCGAAGGCAGCUUACUACGCAGAUAUUGACGCUCAUGCACGAAAGCGUGGGGAUCAAACAGG
rnacentral:rRNA from 1 species